UACGUAGGGGGCGAGCGUUGUCCGGAAUUAUUGGGCGUAAAGGGCUCGUAGGCGGUCUGUCGCGUCGGGAGUGAAAACUUACAGCUUAACUGUGAGCGUGCUUCCGAUACGGGCAGACUUGAGGUAUUCAGGGGAGAACGGAAUUCCUGGUGUAGCGGUGAAAUGCGCAGAUAUCAGGAGGAACACCGGUGGCGAAGGCGGUUCUCUGGGAAUAUCCUGACGCUGAGGAGCGAAAGUGUGGGGAGCGAACAGG
rnacentral:rRNA from 1 species